rnacentral:rRNA from 1 species
GGCGAUGUCCCCGUGCAGGGGCAGGCUGGUCGAGUGGCCGCGGCGGGCCUCCCCUAUUCCCGCGGCAGGGGAGCUGCGCAGCUCGAGAGGGGAGGCGAGUGGCGAGGGGUGAACGGGGGAGGAGCGAGAGAGGCGGAGAGGGUGAGGAGGUCUAGGGGAAGAGGGAGUGGGCUGCAACGGCCGCUGCACGCAGCGAGCUAGUGCGCCGGUGGCCGUGGGGGCUCGCAGCUCCGAAGCAGAUGCUCCACGCGGCGGCAUACGAAGCAGGAGGAGCUGGUUACCUACUUGGACCCCAGCAGACGUAGCGGUCGUAGCUGGGGUAGGGGUUGGUGGCCGGCAGCGGGACGGAGCGGCCUAGAGGAGCUGCCUUUGAGGGGCUGGAGCCGUUCGAGCAGGUGCCGGAGGGGUCCUACCACCUAGGGACCUCAGUCUACGGUGACGGCUGCCUACGAUGAUGCACCUCUGGCGGCUGCUGGUCCUCAUCAAUCCUCCAGGGUCCGUCCUCCGGAACGGAGAAGCUAGCACAACGAAAACACGAUCGGAAGAAUUCCGUAGGAACAGAUUGAAUACAGACAUGAGUCUAUAACAACGAAGGCGACUGAGAACACAUAGCUCGAACAUAAGCUCGGGAGCUCCGGGGACCGAACAUUAUACUUCGAACAUAAUAAAAUUAAACAC